rnacentral:misc_RNA from 1 species
CUUGCAUUGCGUUCAUUUUUUAUUGUUUCAAGAAACAGGGAGAGAAAGAGAUAAGGUACCAGCUUUUGUAUUGAAAAACCAGACAACAGCAAAAGAAAUGGGUCGUCGUGGAGUUAGCGCUGGUGGCGGACAGAGUUCAUUGGGAUACCUAUUUGGUAAUGGGGAGACUGCUAACAAUGCAUCGGCUGCUAAAACCGAGGGACAAACUGCAAACAAUAGCCCUUCUCAGAAACCUGCCAUCGCUUCACCCACAAUAGAUAAGCAAACACCAGCAGGCGUCCAUGGAAAUCUUACAAAUAAUUACUAUCGAGCAGAUGGCCAGAACUGUGGUAACUUUAUUA